UACGUAGGGUGCAAGCGUUAAUCGGAAUUACUGGGCGUAAAGCGUGCGCAGGCGGUUUUGUAAGUCUGUCGUGAAAUCCCCGGGCUCAACCUGGGAAUGGUGAUGGAGACUGCAAGGCUAGAAUCUGGCAGAGGGGGGUAGAAUUCCACGUGUAGCAGUGAAAUGCGUAGAGAUGUGGAGGAACACCGAUGGCGAAGGCAGCCCCCUGGGUCAAGAUUGACGCUCAUGCACGAAAGCGUGGGGAGCAAACAGG
rnacentral:rRNA from 1 species